rnacentral:rRNA from 1 species
GAUGAACGCUGGCGGCGUGCCUAAUACAUGCAAGUCGAGCGAACAGACGAGGAGCUUGCUCCUUUGACGUUAGCGGCGGACGGGCGAGUAACACGUAGGUAACCUACCUAUAAGACUGGGAUAACUUCGGGAAACCGGAGCUAAUACCGGAUAAUAUUUCGAACCGCAUGGUUCGAUAGUGAAAGAUGGCUUUGCUAUCACUUAUAGAUGGACCUGCGCCGUAUUAGCUAGUUGGUAAGGUAACGGCUUACCAAGGCAACGAUACGUAGCCGACCUGAGAGGGUGAUCGGCCACACUGGAACUGAGACACGGUCCAGACUCCUACGGGAGGCAGCAGUAGGGAAUCUUCCGCAAUGGGCGAAAGCCUGACGGAGCAACGCCGCGUGAGUGAUGAAGGUCUUCGGAUCGUAAAACUCUGUUAUUAGGGAAGAACAAACGUGUAAGUAACUGUGCACGUCUUGACGGUACCUAAUCAGAAAGCCACGGCUAACUACGUG